AGGCUUGUUUGGGGCUAGUGGGAGGUGAGCUGCGGCAAGGGCAUAGGCAAGUAAUGGGGACACCGUACGGAGGCAGCAGGGUCGUAGGCACCGCCUGAGAGGCGGGGCUAGAGGGGCCUGGGUGGCGCAAGAGGACCUAGCAGACACAGAGGAGACACGGAGGGGAGACCGGUCUUCCUCAGGUCCCGACGCUGGGGAAGGCGAGACCCAUUGGGCAGAGGAGAGGAGCCUUAGGGUCCCACGAAGGGAUCCCAUAGGGCGGCUUCUGCUUGGAGAGGCCCCCGGAACUGGGGGAACCCACGCAGAGGCUCCCUGUGGCCAGAUGAGCUCCCGAGCGGCGGGCGGAACUGCAGGAGGUGCGGCCAAGGACGGACGUAAUCACCCCUGGCCGGGCCUUCGUCCACGUGACGAGUCUGGGCAUCUGCUCCACGGAGCAGGCGAGCGGCCGCAGUGCGGUGGGCGCUGGAGGAUGCGCGCUGGAGCUGCGGCGACAGCUGUGAGAUCCGGAGGGCCAGAAAGAGACAGAAAGCGACACUGAGAAUCCAUUCCAAGCAAGCAGCCAAGAGGAGACGCGGCAGUUCCCAGAUGUUGAUGUUUUGUUUUUUGACAUAAAUCUUUGCCCUCAUAUGGGAGUUUUCAUUGA